GCUUUCCCUGAUAGUAGGGGUUGCAGGCUCUGCCUUUCCUUGCUAAAUCCAGGCAAGACUGUAAGUGCCAACAAAACAAUAAUGAUAAAUUGAUGGCUGGAUAAACAGUGCUCAGUGUGCUACCAUUUUGCCCUGUUCUAUAGCAAAGAUGAAAUUUGGAGCAGCAACAGUAAACCUUUGUUUGGGCCUUCUCGGUGGUGACGCCCUUCCUAAGGAACACCCUCCCUCCAGAUGUCAAGGAGAUAAAGAACUAUGCAACUUUUAGAAGACAACUGCAGGCUGCCCUGUUUCAGAAAGUUUUUAAUGCUUGAUGUUUUACUAUGUUUUUAUAUAUGCUGUAAGCCACCCAGAGUGGCUGAGGAAACCCAGCCAGAUGGGCAGGGUAUUAUUAUUAUUAUUACAGCAGCAGCAGCAGCAGCAGCAGCAGCAGCAGUGGUCUACACAGUGGGCAGAAGCCACCCUCCCAACCCUAGUGCCACUGCUGUUUAUUUGGAUAGGGCUGAGACAGGGCAGCAGCAAGGUUGGGGCAGUGCCAUUACUGUGGGAGGAGUGCCACCACCAAUCCAGCCCUGUUAUCAGUGCAACCACACGGUCCUGGUUUUACAGCCCACCCUAAGUAAUCAGCAGUGAUGCUGCUGCUGUCCGGAGGGUGGCUUGGCAGCUCUGACCCACCACCCAUUCCACUGUUGGUAUGCACACAGUGUAUCCCUUUAUAGCAAAGGGCGCUGGGCUCCUGCGUGCAUGGGGAUUUGGAUGAUCCAUUUUAAAAAUAAAUAAAUCUGGGCUAUUUUUAACAACCCCUUCUGACUACUUUGGAUGUCAGCUUGAGACUUGGUUAGCACAAUGGCGGUAGAACAAAGCAGAAACAAAACACACACACGCAAAACCUUUUAAUAUAAUGUCAAACAUGUGUCUCCCACUGCAGGUCAGCCAGAUAUGUAAUAUUUGGCACAUCACACGGUAUACAGAUAUUGUAAAGAAAUGAUGAACACGGAUGCUUCUGAAGCACGUUACGGGGCUAGCCAAGGAGCUUUUUUUUGCCAAGCUCUAAAGUCUGUAGCUUUGGACAUGUUCUCUGUUCUAAUUCAGCCACUUUAUGGCUCCAGCCGUAAAAGUGAUCAAGGAUCAGGACCAGCCCUACGGCCAAAGCAUUCUAGGAGAUUUUUCAGGGCAGCGCUUUGAAGUGGGAGGCACGUUUUGUUGCAGAGAGGGAGGCCAUUUGUUUCUGGCAGUGUCUUCAUGCUUCUGCAACACCUUCCUUUUCCAAACGUAGGAUGUACACAAGAACUCCCAUAAAGGGGAGCAGGCUCAGCCUUAGAAAGAUUGUACUGGAGUCUGGUCCAUUAAGGCGAAUGGGCACAGCCCCACCAGUCCGUCUCUGCCUGCCUUCCGUGAACCCCACCUGGUCUGCCUUCUUACUUACACCCUUGUGCAAAUUAAUUGAAACAAAGCAUGUUUUCUGUCUUACUCGUAAUCCUGUACUCAAAACAAACACGAAAAGUCAGUUGAUUAUUAUGGUGUCAGAAGCCUGCAGCCAAUAGAAGGAAUGAUGCGCUCGCCACAAUAUAUUGAGGUUCUACAAAAGAGAGUUAUUCCAGAGCUGGAAAAGAGAUAUCCUGACGGUACUGGGAUACUGCAGCAGGACCUAGCCCCCUGUCACACAUCAAAAGUGAAGAAAUUCGUGACAGAGCAGCAAAUACAGGUACUUGAUUGGCCAGGGAAUUCCCCAGGCGUAAAUCCCAUUGAGAAUUUGUGGGCUAUAUGCAAAAGUCGCCUCCGUGCUGUAGACUGUACGACUAUGGAGAAGCUCAUUCAGGCACUGAUUCAAGUGUGGUACAAGGAUCUGAAAAUCAACAGUGACUGUUCGAAACAAGUAGACUCCAUGCAAAACCAUGUUCAAAUGCUGCUUAAAAAUAGCGGAG
rnacentral:lncRNA from 1 species